UGAUAAUGCCAAAGCUUUACUUAUCAUUUGCACUAGUUGCGAUCAUUUGUGCUUUCUGUAAUGUUAAGGCAGUGAAGUUUUAUCAAGUGGACACACAUAAGACAUGUGAUGGUUUCACAAACGGUGCAGUCAAAUUCAGCAACUCUCGUUUAGUUGGCAAAAAACAAGCGAUUGUAAUCUCAGUUACGAUGGAUGUGUUGAGGAAUGUGAAACCACCGAUUGCGUUUACUUUAUCAAUAAAUCGUUGUGAUAUUGAUCAAACCAAUUGCAAACACUUUGACACCAUUUCUUUCGAAGAUAUCUGUCCAAUGUAUAAUGAAAAUCAACUCGUCAAAGCGCAUAUAGGAUUUUUCUCUCCACCGCUAACAUGUCCAUUACAAAUUGGGAAAUACACAACUACCGAAGGACUGCUUGACAUGCGUGUGUUUGAUGGAUUCUCAAUCGGUAAUGCACAUUGGCAAACGGAACUGAAACUGACUGAUGGAACGAACGAAACUGUGCUUUGCAUUUGGUCAGAGGUUACGAUAAAUGAAAAAAGAAAUGUGAACGGUAACGCUAGGAACCGUCUUCAUAGUUAGUACUUACCCUGCACAAUGAGAGCCCCAAGUGCCGCGGCUUCUCCAAUCGAACAGUACAACCGUCCGUGUCGUAGAUCCCGUUUCAAUUGCUGAAAUAGCAUCACUUUGCCAUUACCCGUCAGUCGACAGGGAUCGGCAGGAUAAAAUUUGACUCGGAACGAUAGUAUGAGGGGUUCCACAUCUGCAAAUGUAUCCAUUAUUUAGCACCAAUAAAAAUUUUGAGCAGAAAC